AUUUAAGAAGACUGAAAUUAUAUCAAGUAUGUUUCCCAAACACAUUGUUAUAAAACUAGAAAUCCGUAACAUAAAGAACCAUGGAAAAUGGGCGGAAUUUGCAGCUUUGGCAGAUUGAAAUAAUGGCAGGUCCAGAAAGUGAUGCACAAUACCAGUUCACUGGUAUUAAAAAAUAUUUCAACUCUUAUACUCUCACAGGUAGAAUGAAUUGUGUACUGGCCACAUACAGAAGCAUUGCUUUGAUUGUCUUAUAUUUCAAGUAAAGGUCCAAAAAAACUCCCGCUAUGAAAGCAACAUAAAUGGAUUUUAAACUGUCUAUAGUUCUUAAUCUCAUCUGUUAAGUUCCCACACCUGGAGAAGCUAAUGCCAACUCAUCAUGUGAUAAUUCAGUUUGUACAAUAUAUUAUGAACCUGGAAAAAAA